AUGAAACUAAGUAAAUAAGAAACAAUGAGUAAAUCGAAAGAUAAGUAAACUGUUUGAUAUUCUUUUGGUACAUUGUUAAUGAUAAUUUCUUUUGCCAUUUAUAAAAAAUAAAAAAAAUAAAAAAAAAUAAAAAAAAAUAAACAAGAAGUCAAAAUAUGCUGGCUUGACAAAGACUGAUAGAAACUGUUUGAUAUUCUAUCCAAUAGCUCCUAUAUCUUUCUCCCUCAAACUGAUGACUAGGUCUAUGAAAACCACUUUUCUAACCAAAAAAGAAAAAAGAUAAGAACAGAAACAGAAAUUCUAUAUGUUUUGAUUCUACAUUGAGGAUAGAAGUAAUAAGUACUGCACAACUUUUGUGAAAAUGAGUCCUACAUUAUUUCCGCCUGAAAUCCAAUCAUAUUUGCAUCCAAGCUUUUCACACUCCAGUUGCACAUAAGGUAAAGGUUGGAGAUACUAGAUUCAUCAUUCCUAUGAAUGUCCUCUUGUACCAAUGACCGUGUCGGUUGAGGCUCUUGGUAAUUUGUACAGCUGACUAUGGGAUUCCUGUUGUACUUAUCAACUUCUAAAGCUCUAAUACAUGCAUCUUCCGAUGAAUCAGGGGAAUAGUACAAGAGUUCUCUCUUAAGGUAUGCCCCAAGCCAUUGAUUUUAAAUCUAGUAUCAGAUGUAGGGUUCUUCUUCAAGGCCACACCGUAAGUAGUAAUUUUUCAAACCUACAUAAGUAAACACUUACAUUAGAGGCCAACUGUAUAAGAUUAAGUAAUUGGUCAACCAAUUGUCUCUUGUAGUAGGUUGGUAAAUACUUUUCUUUGAGCUUCUGUUUCAUCACACUCCAUUGUGCUACGGAGACUCCUCUAAGUGCUCACGAUUGAGUUGGACAACUUGCCAAAACUUUCUAGCUAACCUACUUAGUUUCAUCUCAGCAAAUCGGACUCUUUCUAUGUCUGUCAUCUCAUACUAUUCAAAGUAAUCAUCCAUGCUGAUUAGCCAAUCUAGUAAGACAUCAAGAUCUAGUUUAUCAUUAUAGCUAGCAACAUCUAUCUUCACUCACUUGGAAAUGUCAGAGAUCUUUUCACUCUAGUCUCUAGAUUCUGAUGAUUGCUUCCUCCCCUAAAGCCAUGAUGGGAUUGUCUAGGUUGUUCACAAUGCCUAGGUCUAUCUCUAAGUUGAUUGAUUUCAUCCUCAUUGGAGGUUGACACACACAGAUGAAGAUCAUGAUAAGGGUCUUCUCUAGGCUUUGAGGGCUGACCCAUUCGUUUAGUUUUAUACAGAGAAUUAGUUUGAACAGACGAAUGUUCAUGUGCUCCAUCUGUUUAAGAGGGAACUCAAGAUUCUCAUCAAUUGUGAAUUUGCCUUUUUCUUGAAUUUUAUUACUUAGUUCCAAGACAACUAAUUUCGAGGUCUCAAUAUCGAUACAUUUUUCUGUCAUGACUUUAAUAGGGUGAAUAAAGAAGGAUGACCAGAAAAAGUGAUGGUAAAUUAAAAAAAAAAAGAAGUAAUAGUAAGAAAAGAAAGAUGCUAAAAAACCUAUAAUUGCUAAAAGUAAUUUUUUAAAAAAUAAAAGUAUAAGAUGUAUAUUGAUAUGUUGGUGCCAGGGGGGCACUACCAACAUAUAAAAAAUUCACGAGUCAAUAAAUAUGUCUAUAAUGGAGCCAAAAUCAUCCAAACUAUCAAGGUUAUGACCCAAAAUUACGAAACCAAAAUAAUGAAACCAUCUAUUCUUAUAUUAACAAAAUUAUUUUUUUUUCCUUUUAAAAGCUUUAUUGUUUCUUUCUUCUCAAAUAACCCAGAAAAUGGUUAGUGGGAUUAAUCUGUAGCAUUUGUUCCUUUUACACAGCUCCUCCCAAGCCAAUAACUCACUCAUAACAGACCCAGCCAUAGACCAGCAGACAUCCAUGAGCCCAUAGACCAGUGACCAGAGAUUGUAAGUGAGAGGACACCACAUCAAUAUGAGGUUGCUGGAUUCUGCGCUAUUUUUGCAAAGGAAACAUUUGUUGGCCAUUGUUAUACCUCUUUUCAUGAGAUUAUCGAUAAUUGAUAUGUGUUCUUUCACAGUUUCCCAAGCAAAAAGUGAAAUUCUAGGAGGAGCAUGGGCCUUGCAAAUCAGUUUUGUAGAGAAAUCCACACAAUCAAAUCUUCUGUGCCCAUCCAGGUAGCUGUAGAAAGAUUUUACAGAGAAAAUACCUUUUUUUUUUCAAUUUCCAUAUUAACUUAUCAUCUUGAUUGCUGAGUUGGAUAGUAGCCAAAGCUGUAGCAGAUUUCUGUAUUCAUCCACCUCCCAAUCCUGCAAAUUCUUGUUGACCACCAUAGUCCAAUCACUGCAAUUAUCGUCUCCUAAAGCCUUCUCAAUGAGCAUGUCUUUGUCUCGGGUGAAAGCAAAAAUCAUAGGGAAGCGAGUCUAAAACUUUUUAGACCCGCACCAAACAUCAAGCCAGAAUCGCACCCUAUUACCUUUACCCACAUUCUUAGAGCAAUCAAAGAUGGUUUAAUUGACUUGCAUAAUAGCCUUUCAGAAACUCAUACCGAAAAUGCUUUUUUCCAAAGCGAAUUGGUCGUGUCCAUCAUUUCCAGCUCAUUUGUAAUCAAUAACCUUUUUCCAAAAGCUAUCAUUGUCAUUCCAGAAUCUCCAGAUCCAUUAUCAUGAGAGCCCUGUUCAGAACACUUAAAGAUCUCAAGCCCCGGCCACCUGCCUCAAUAUGGCACUUCACCUUCUCCCAUUUUACUAAAUGAAGUCUCCUAUUUCCUUCCUCAUCUCUCCAUAGAAAUCUGAAUUGAAUCGAUUCCAAUUUCUUCGUCACCUUAUCUGGGAUAGUAAGUACAGACGAAUAAUCGAUCGGUAGGUUAGAUAAGGUGCUUUUAAUGAGUGUCGAUCUACCUCUUUUUGAGAGGAAUUUCCCCUUUCAACCAGCCAAUCUUUUUUCAAACAUAUCUAUAAUCGGAUCGCAGCAUCUAACAUCUUUGUAUGUCGCACCCAGAUGAAUACCCAAGUAUUUUAUAGGUAACUGUGUGUAUCUGCAACCCAGAACCUGAGCAAGAGAAGUCCCCAAACUGUUCGCGCUGAUCCCAACUAACCCAGGUUUAUUCAAAUUGAUUUUGAGGCCAGAAAUAGCUCGAAAGUAAUAAUGAUAUUAACUACUUAAGAAUGCAAAAUAAGGCUCAAGAAUUUCUUUUUUCAAAUAAAUGUAAGGGGAGGCUAAGAGAAGGUAGGUAGGGUGUGGGGCUGAGUUGUGUAGUGACCUUUUUUUUCAUUUUCAGAUGAAGGUACAACUAGGAGAAAAGGAGGUAUAAUGCAAGGGUUUUAUUUGUAUGUUUGAAGGAAUAGAUUUGCCUAGUCAAUUUGAUAUAUUAAUCUAGUUUCAAAGUAGAAAAUCCUACUUGUAUGAAGCCAUUUCAAGCCAUUUCAAGCCCAUUCCAUUCCAAGUUCUCCAACAAUAUUGCAAAAGGUAUUGCAAAAAGUUGUAGAGAAGAUAACCUUUGAAAAUUUAAAAACAGCUCCAAAGNNNNNNNNNNNNNNNNNNNNNNNNNNNNNNNNNNNNNNNNNNNNNNNNNNNNNNNNNNNNNNNNNNNNNNNNNNNNNNNNNNNNNNNNNNNNNNNNNNNNNNNNNNNNNNNNNNNNNNNNNNNNNNNUUAAGGAAAUUCUAUUAAGAACAAACUUAGAGAUCUUAGAUUUCAAUAAUCAAAACAAUACCUCAAUAUUUGAAUAAUACUCAUAACUAGUGUACCUAAUAACUAAGUAAAGAUACUUUAUUUAUAGGAACUAAAAUACAUCAAAAAUAGAAAAUCUAGCAAAAUAGGAAAAUAAGUUAAAUAGAAGAAAAUUAGUAAACCUUUAUAUUUCUUUUUAUUGUAAACAAAGAAAACCUAGAGUAGAAAAAUAAGUUAAAUGGAAGGAAUAAGGAAAUUAGGAAAUCUUCCUACUUCCUUUUAUUAUAAUAUUUUCCAAAACUUUACUUAUACUAUAAAAGGAAAUUAAAAUUCCCUAUACCUUUUAGUGAAAGAAAAGGAAAUUAAAUUUUCCUAUUCUGUUUAGUGUAAAAUUUCUCAAAACGAUUAUUCUCCUUUGUUAGUUCUACAUAAGUGUAAUGAGUCAAUUUAUGUACAAAUCCAAAUUACACUUACAAACCGUAUAUCAGGUACUACAAUACUUGAAGGGGACCUCAGGGAAAGGUAUCGUGUUCAAAAGAAAAAACAAGUUAUUUCUUGAAGCAUACACUGAUGCAGAUUAUGCAAGAUCUUAGCGGACAGAAGGUCCACCACUGGCUAUUGCACCUUCUUUGUACAGAAUCUGGUCACUUAUAGAGAAGUAAAAAGUAAAAUGUGGUAGCAUGAUAUACCGCAGAACCAGAAUUUCGAAUUAUAACUCAAAGGAUAUGUGAACUACUAUAGUAAAUGAUGAUCUUAGAAGACUCGAAAAUUAAAAUGGAUGGCCUGUGAGACUCUAUUAUGGCAAUAAACUGGCAAUCGGUAUUGUCCACAAUCCAAUGCAAUACGACAUAACCAAAUACAUUGAAGUUAACAAGCAUUUCAUCAAGGAAAAGCUAGAUAGUAGUUUGAUACAUAUACCAUACAUUCUCAUCUCCUCAUAACUUGUCGAUGUGUUAACUAAGGAUUUAAGUUAUUCCAUAUUAUAAAUAAUUAUUGUCAAGUUAAGAAUGAACAAUAUUUAUUCACCAGCUUAAGGAGGAGCGCCGAAAAGUGUAUAUAAGUGUAAGAGUAAAAGAUAUAGUAGCAAAAUACCUACAUAUGCAAUUAAUCAUAUGUUUCUUUUUAUUAUUUACAAAGAAUAUGUAUAUACAGGCCUUGAUACUCAAUAUCAAACACAACAUUCAUUCUUCCAUAGUAACAGCAGAGACUAUGCAUAUUCUCCAAUUACAAUAUAUUAUAUUACUGCACCCAUAAUCCAAACAAAUGACAAUUUGAUAAAGAUACUAACCUGAGCUUCUGCACGAAGAUCUGUAUAUGGGACGAUCCCAGUGAGAAGCUCACUGCAGAGAAUAGAAAUACAAUAUCAUUACAUAGAAAAGAAAAUAGAUAAACAGCUUUAAACAAAAAUGCUUUUGAACUAAAUAAAGAAAAUGUAAAAAAUAAAAACAAUCAAGAGCUGUCUAAGGAUUAAUGGCACAAGAUCUGGUUUAACUCCCCAAAUCUGCGGAAAAUUAAUUCCUAAAAUCUCUCAACAAAUCAAACAACUGAUACGUAAGAAUUCCCAUAACUGCUGGAAAUUAAUUCCCUAAAUAUCUCAACAAAUCUGCAAAAACAUCUGCUGGAAAUUAAUUCCCCAAAUCUCUCAACACUCUCCCUCAAGUUAGCUUAAAGAUGUCUUCCAUUAUCAGCUUGCCAAUCAACUUGAUGCCGCUUUGAUAAGAUAAUUAGGGAAAGUCAGCAUGCUUUUGUGGUGACAGGCAAAUCCUUGAUGCUGCUUUGAUCGCUAACAAAGUGGUAGAUGAACUAGCAUAUAGAAAGAGGGAAGGGGUGUUGUACAAGUUAGAAAUGAAGAAGACUUAUGAUCAAGUGAAUUGGGGUUUCAUGGAUUACAUGCUCGCAAUGUUGGAUUUUGAGGAGAAAUGGAGGUGCUGGGUCAAGGCAUGCAUUAGUACUACCUCAUUUGCGGUGAUUGUCAAUGGUGGUUCAUCAACUUUCUUCCAGGCACCUCGAGGGUUAAGACAGGAUAACCCUUUAUCCCUUUGUUUUUCAUUGUGGUCAUGGAAGCCCUUAAUAGUAUGAUAAUAAGAGAUAAGAAAUGUGAUUUAUUCAGAGGUCUGAAGAUUGGAGUGGGGGAACAGACUGAGGAGAUCACUCAUCUGUUUUUUGCUGAUAAUGCAAUAUUUUUCUCUGAUCUUGCUCAUUUUCGGGUGUAUGCACCCAGUUCUUGGCAGAACGUUUGUAAGAGGGAUAGGAUCAAACUAUGGAAAGACCAAUGAUCGGAGGAUGGUACUCUCAAAGAGAAAUUUCCCUAGAUUUACACUCUCCCAGCAGAGAGAGAUCAAGAUAUUUGAUUCAGUUGUGGAGAUUGGAGGAAGAGAGAAAGAAUGACAGGUCUUAGUGCUAAGAAACCUAAAUGACUAGGAGAUCGGUGAAUAUGAGAACCUAUUAAGUACUUCAUCCUAUGUGACGUUAGAGGGAGAAAUAAUAUUCCUGCUGAUUUUUGAGAAAAAAUAAUAAUUUUAUUUUUUACCUUUUAAAUUGUUGCACUUAAAAUAUUUAUAGAAUUCCUAUUCUACUGAUAAGAAAAUUUUUAUUAUAUUAAAUUUUUAAUUAUAUGAGAUUAUUAUUCUCAUAUAAUCCUAAUUACAUAAUACUAAAUAAAUAAAUAAUAAAAUAUGCUACUCAACACCCUCCCAAAUUAGUGCAAGAAUAAUAUACAUGUCCAACUUGCAGACUAAGUUUUGCAAACUAAGUUACAAACUGAACCCAGAUCUGUGAGGCAGCAGCUCAGCUCGAUUCGACUACAAAAUGACUCAGGUUCGGAUUAGGCUCAAAAAGGAGUCGGGUACGGCUCAAAACAGCUCAAACUCGACUCAAAACAGCUCAAACUCGAUUCAAAAGAACUCAAACUCGGCUCAAAAAAUGACUCGAAAUCGACUCGGCUUGGUAGUGACUCGGACGCGGACAGCUUGGCUCAAGCGCAGACAGACCAGAUCGGGGUGGCCCAACACACGGAAUGGCAAGAUUGAAUGUCCCCGUGUGCAGAAAGCUCUAAUGGUGCGCAAAGGACAUCUGUCCAACAAUGCAGCGCGGUUCAAUGCGCAUCGAGAGCGAGGUGGCGUGGGGGAGAUCUAGACAAGUCGCCUCCAAGCGUGGAACGACCGAAACGAUGUAGCAAAGGGCACAGAACAACGGAUUGGCCAAAUGCACGCAGCCACGUGAAAGCCGGAAUCUUGACAUGCCAUCUGUACUGCAUCAUGUGCAAAAUGCCAAAAAAGGACCGGAUAUUGGUGUGCAAUGGCUGUGCAACACAAUUUUGACCGGAAUGAGCUGAUUCCUAACAACGCGUGGGGAUCACGUGCUUCCACUGACAGCAGCGCGUGUGGCUCACGUGUGGCAAAAACGGCUCUGAUCUAGUGUCAAUGAGCAGCGACUUUGACUGGGUGGUUGGUGAGGUUGAAUUUUUUUUAUAAGUGAGUAGCAACUCAGCCUAUUUUAUUAUUUUACAGUUUUGAAAAAAUCAUGAAAUUAAAAUCUUAAAAUAAUCUUAUUUUGGCUACGAUACCAUAUUGAUUUUGGAGAAAAAUAAUAAUUUUAUUUCUCACCCUUUAAAUUGUUACACAUAGGGUCUUAUAAAAAUUCAUAUCCUACUAAUAAGGAAAUUUUUAUUCUACUAAAUUUAUAAUUGCAUUCCAUUGUUUCCCCGUGUAAAAUGACAGAAAUAUACAAUUUCAUAACCUAGUGCAGCAAAAUUUCUUGAUUUAUCUUAAAUUCUUACUUGAUUGAUAUCCCAAAACUGUAGACAUCUGAUUUUUCAGUAUGUAUUUCUUUCCUCAAUAUUUCAGGCGCCAUGUAAAUAAGAGUGCCAACCAUGUGCUUCUUGUGGAAACCACCAGUUGGCUUGCCAGCUGAUCUCC
rnacentral:lncRNA from 1 species